rnacentral:lncRNA from 1 species
CUGGUUAGUUGGCUUGCAAGGUGUUUACAGUGCCACCAAAAACGCAUGAAAAAUUUUCUUUUGGGUUACGGCAGCGGCUGAGGGCUUGAAAAAUUCACAUCACUCGUAAGGAAGAAAAGAAACGGCACGCCAAAAAAACUCUGCAAACGGAAAACCGAAAAUGAUAUGAAGCUAAGCCUCUCAGCCUGGCUUAUCAUUGCUGGAGACGACGUCUCCUGUGGCUGCUAUUCCUGCAGCAGCUGCUGUGUGGCAUUGCUCCCCUUCAGAUGGAGAGGAAGCCGCGCUCAGCGCCUGGCCACGUAGAGAUGCUUGGGGCCAGCACAACGAGGGAACAGACUGAGAAGAAAAUGUCUUGGGACAACAGGAAGGAGAGGACAGUCACACAAGCAGCAUUGGGAAUAUCCAGCCUCCUCUGGAGCGGGGUCCUGCACAUGAGCAUUUGCCCCAGUGAUCCUUUUGACAGACAGCAGCAUGGGCAUCUGUUCCAGACUGACUGUCUCCAUGGAAUUCUGGGGGGUUUCUGCUGCUCCUUCCUGCCUCCCUCUCCAGUGUUUGCAUAGGUGUUCCUUACUCUUGCUACAUUCACUGAAAUCACGAGGAAAUUCCAUGGAAAUGCAAAGCUGAACACCACAAUGGGGAAGGCUGUAUGGAAACAUUCAUUCAGGAGGCUUGGGCAUAGCUGGCUGCAUUCCUGCUGCUGGGACAGGCACUCCUUGGGAAAAAAAGAACAAAACCACCUGGCAUGUUCCUCUGCUGUAAAAUAAAUCACAAAGAGAGAAUUUCA